UGGAUACGUUGGAUGUCAUGAAUUCCAGAGAGAGAAAGAGAGAAAUUAACUAGCUAAAAUUGUUUGAAAAUAUAGCUUAGAAAGAGAACCAGAAUAAACAAUUAUGAGAAAGAAUGGCUCGCUAAGAGAAAGAGAAUUGCUAGUGAGAAUUGUUCAAAAAACAACAGAGUUUAGAUACAGAAGAAAAAUGCACUAUAUUGAUCAAAUGAGCUGAUAAAUAAAGUAUAAGAAUAUAAUCUAUAUAACAUGUGUUUCAAGCACUAUAUCAAAAUCCCACUUCUCAAGCAAACCCCUAAAAAUAUACAGUAAGAAACAAUAUGAGACACCAAAUACAAUUAAAUUAAUAGAAGGUAGAAAGUGAAUCAUACUCAAUUUUUAUUAGGUUUCUAAUCUUAUAGGUACCUCGAUACUCCCCGGCCAACGGUAGCAAGCGAUCAAUUAGGAAAAAAGAGUAACAACAAUACCUUUUCCCCACCAACAAAACUUUGGGAUCCACGAACAUCUCCUCAUCAUGGGCAGAGUUUACAGCUUCACGAACCGCCAUCAAUGAAAGAAAUAUGGUCAAAAGUUAGGGUUCAACUUCAGAGUUAGUGUUCCAUUUAGGAGGCCGAAUUGCAACAAAUAUGGUU
rnacentral:lncRNA from 1 species